rnacentral:rRNA from 1 species
UACGUAGGCAGCAAGCGUUGUUCGGAGUUACUGGGCGUAAAGAGUGCGUAGGUGGUGCCCUAAGUCUGUUGUGAAAUCUCCCGGCUUAACUGGGAGGGUGCGGUGGAAACUGGGGUGCUUGAGUGUGGGAGAGGUAAGCGGAAUUCCUGGUGUAGCGGUGAAAUGCGUAGAUAUCAGGAGGAACACCGGUGGCGAAGGCGGGUCUCUGGGCCGAUACUGACGCUGAGGAGCGAAAGCGUGGGGAGCAAACAGG